GAUGAACGCUGGCGGCGUGCCUAAUACAUGCAAGUCGAGCGAACGGACGAGAAGCUUGCUUCUCUGAUGUUAGCGGCGGACGGGUGAGUAACACGUGGAUAACCUACCUAUAAGACUGGGAUAACUUCGGGAAACCGGAGCUAAUACCGGAUGAUAUUUUGAACCGCAUGGUUCAAAAGUGAAAGACGGUCUUGCUGUCACUUAUAGAUGGAUCCGCGCUGCAUUAGCUAGUUGGUAAGGUAACGGCUUACCAAGGCAACGAUGCAUAGCCGACCUGAGAGGGUGAUCGGCCACACUGGAACUGAGACACGGUCCAGACUCCUACGGGAGGCAGCAGUAGGGAAUCUUCCGCAAUGGGCGAAAGCCUGACGGAGCAACGCCGCGUGAGUGAUGAAGGUCUUCGGAUCGUAAAACUCUGUUAUCAGGGAAGAACAUAUGUGUAUGUAACUGUGCACAUCUUGACGGUACCUAAUCAGAAAGCCACGGCUAACUACGUG
rnacentral:rRNA from 1 species